CCUGGAGCCACCGUGAGCCACUGGUGACCUUGGGGCCACCAAGAUGCCACCAACGAGCCGGGGCCACCAUGACCUGGAGCCACCACGAGCCGCCGGUGACCUUGGGGCCACCAAGAUGCCACCAACGAGCCGGGGCCACCAUGACCUGGAGCCACCACGAGCCACCGGUGACCUUGGGGCCACCAAGGUGCCACCACGAGCCGGGGCCACCAUGACCUGGAGCCACCACGAGCCACCGGUGACCUUGGGGCCACCGAGAUGCCACCAACGAGCCAGGGCCACCAUGACCUGGAGCCACCGUGAGCCACUGGUGACCUUGGGGCCACCAAGAUGCCACCAACGAGCCAGGGCCACCAUGACCUGGAGCCACCACGAGCCACCGGUGACCUUGGGGCCACCAAGAUGCCACCAACGAGCCAGGGCCACCAUGACCUAGAGCCACCACGAGCCACCGGUGACCUUGGGGCCACCGAGGUGCCACCACGAGCCAGGGCCACCACCGAGUCAGGACUACGACGGGCUGGAGCCACCACGAGCCAGCAAUGAGCUGGUGCCACCGUGAGCUGGGGACAUCAGCGAGCCACCGAGAUGCCCCCAUGGGUUGGGGCCACCAAGAGCUACCACGGGCCACCACGAGCCACCAUAAACUGGGGUCACCAUGAUUUGGGGACCUCAACAAGCCACCAACAUCCCACCAUGGGCUGGGGCCACCGAGAGCCCCCAUGAACCAGGGUCACCAUGAUCUGGGGACAUCGAUGAGCCACCACGAGCUGGGGCCACCCUGGUGUCACCAAGACCCUUAAUGACACCCAUUUCCCCCCCCCCGAGGGCCUGCCCAGCCCCCCACGUGUGUGUUCCCCCCCUCCCCCCCCGCGUGGGGGCCCAGUUGUCCAGGACUUCGGGGUGGGGGGAAGGGGGACACCCCAAUAAAGACGGUGACAACA